rnacentral:rRNA from 1 species
UACAGAGGUGGCAAGCGUUGUUCGGAAUUACUGGGCGUAAAGGGCGCGUAGGCGGUUCGAUAAGUCCCGUGUGAAAUCCCUCGGCUCAACUGAGGAACUGCACGGGAAACUGACGGGCUUGAGUUCGGGAGAGGGAAGCGGAAUUCCGGUGGUAGCGGUGAAAUGCGUAGAUAUCCGGAGGAACACCGGUGGCGAAGGCGACUACCUGGCCUGUUCUUGACGCUGAGGCGCGAAAGCUAGGGGAGCAAACGGG